GCUUGAUCCGCCUGUCGCGUGUGUGAAGAAGGCCUUUUGGUUGUAAAGCACUUUAAGCGAGGAGGAGGCUACUUACAUUAUACUCUAGGAUAGUGGACGUUACUCGCAGAAUAAGCACCGGCUAACUCUGUGCCAGCAGCCGCGGUAAUACGAUGUGCCCCUU
rnacentral:rRNA from 1 species